rnacentral:rRNA from 1 species
GACGAACGCUGGCGGCGUGCUUAACACAUGCAAGUCGAACGGAAAGGCCCUGCUUUUGUGGGGUGCUCGAGUGGCGAACGGGUGAGUAACACGUGAGUAACCUGCCCUUGACUUUGGGAUAACUUCAGGAAACUGGGGCUAAUACCGGAUAGGAGCUCCUGCUGCAUGGUGGGGGUUGGAAAGUUUCGGCGGUUGGGGAUGGACUCGCGGCUUAUCAGCUUGUUGGUGGGGUAGUGGCUUACCAAGGCUUUGACGGGUAGCCGGCCUGAGAGGGUGACCGGCCACAUUGGGACUGAGAUACGGCCCAGACUCCUACGGGAGGCAGCAGUGGGGAAUAUUGCACAAUGGGCGGAAGCCUGAUGCAGCAACGCCGCGUGCGGGAUGACAGCCUUCGGGUUGUAAACCGCUUUCGCCUGUGACGAAGCGUGAGUGACGGUAAUGGGUAAAGAGGCACCGGCUAACUACGUG